rnacentral:rRNA from 1 species
CACGUAGGGCGCAAGCGUUGUCCGGAAUUAUUGGGCGUAAAGAGCUCGUAGGCGGUCUGUUGCGUCCGCUGUGAAAACUCGGGGCUUAACCCCGAGCCUGCAGUGGAUACGGGCAGACUAGAGGUAGGUAGGGGAGAAUGGAAUUCCCGGUGUAGCGGUGAAAUGCGCAGAUAUCAGGAGGAACACCGGUGGCGAAGGCGGGUCUCUGGGACGUGACUGACGCUGAGACGCGAAAGCGUGGGGAGCAAACAGG